rnacentral:lncRNA from 1 species
GUGGUCUUGGAAUCUAUAAGAAAGCAAACUGAGCAGGCCAUAGGGAGCAAGCCAGCAAGAUGACCACCGUAUGACCUCUGCAUCAGCCUGUGCCUCCAGGUUCCUGCCCUGUUUGAGUUCCUGUCCUGGUUUCCUUCAACGGUGAACAGAGACACAGAAGUCUUCAAUUUCUUCAAAACUGGUUAUUAUCCAAUGAAAGAAUGGCCAUUCGGGAGAGCGCAGUCAUCGGAUCUCAUUAACCUUCAUUGGGCUUUUGGAGUCCCUCAGAAAGACUCGCAGAUGUGUUUUAAAGGAUGCUUGAACUAGCAUAUAAUUCUAUCUAUGCCCUUCCUCAUCCUCCAGUGUUCAUAUGCCCAAGUGAGAGACUUGCCCAAGUGAGAGACUUGAGUUUGGAAGGUAUUACACAGCAGUACAGAAGACGUAAGAACCAUCCGGAUGCUCCUCUGUAGAAAAAACAUCUUUGUUUUGUUUCCCUAUGACACACAAGUGGCUUUCAAGGGAAGGAUUCUGCUAAAGAGGGUGGUGUGACCUUUUGUUUUAUAAGGAGCCUGCUCAUCACAUAUGUUUCAAAUAUGACUGCACCAAAAAGUCCCCAAGGCACAUGACCAAUCUCCCUUCCUUAUGACAGUACCGAGAGGACAAUCCCUGAGCCUGACGCAACGCUGCUGCUGGGACCUUCAGGGUUUUCUAAAACCUUUUAUUUCUGUGUGCAAAGUGCUUUCAGACACAUUUCUGUCCUUGUGUCUCACCACAAGCCUGUGAGAUCAGAGCUGUUGGUGAGAUUUCCACUUUUGAGAAGUAUAACUACUUUCACACAUCGGGUCCCAAUCAUCACGGACCACAGGGAUAAGGACAGCUUCUUGGAGUAGUCACUGACACACACCAACAACUUUACACCAGUAACUGCUUCUGCAGGUCUCCAGGUACCCAUGGCUCAAAGAUGGUUGUCACAGUUCUCUGUGUCACAUAGCCCACUGCAAACCAACAAGCAAACAAGAGGCAAGCUGGAUGCAGGCAGCUAACUAUGCUCUCUGUUAACAUAAGCGUUUUGUUCUCAAUUGUCCUUUGCUGGUGUUGGCCUGCCUGGACCCUGUGGAUGUCUUUAUUACUACAGGCAUCCUGACAAGAAUCCUCUCUCACUGUGUGGAUUUAGGCUGACAACAUCUUUAAACCAACAACUGAAGAUGCCACUGUAACAGACUUGUGAGGUCAGGUGCUUACGUGGAAAACGAAUCACGUUAGUAAUUGGGGUUUGGCAGGCUCCAAAGAGCCACCAAGCGCACAAAGCUUCUGUCCAUUCUCUACAGGAGUCAAUAAACAUCUGUCAUUUUAAGAUGCCAGCUGAGCCAAGAUAUCUUAGGAUAUAACUGUAUAUAUUGGAUCUAAUUAAAAGCAAUUCAUUC